UACGAAGGGGGCUAGCGUUGCUCGGAAUCACUGGGCGUAAAGGGUGCGUAGGCGGGUCUUUAAGUCAGGGGUGAAAUCCUGGAGCUCAACUCCAGAACUGCCUUUGAUACUGAAGAUCUUGAGUUCGGGAGAGGUGAGUGGAACUGCGAGUGUAGAGGUGAAAUUCGUAGAUAUUCGCAAGAACACCAGUGGCGAAGGCGGCUCACUGGCCCGAUACUGACGCUGAGGCACGAAAGCGUGGGGAGCAAACAGGAAUU
rnacentral:rRNA from 1 species